GAACGCGAAGAACCUUACCAGGUCUUGACAUUGAUGGACGAAACAAGAGAUUGUUUUUCUCCUUCGGGAGCCAGAAAACAGGUGGUGCACGGCUGUCGUCAGCUCGUGUCGUGAGAUGUUGGGUUAAGUCCCGCAACGAGCGCAACCCCUAUCUUAUGUUGCCAGCACUUCGGGUGGGAACUCAUGAGAGACUGCCGCAGACAAUGCGGAUGGAAGUGCGUGGGAUGACGUCAAGUCAUCAUGCCCCUUAUGACCUGGGCUACACACGUACUACAAUGGGCUUUAAUAGAGGGAAGCGAAGCCGCGAGGUGGAGCAAACCCCAGAAACAAGCUCUCAGUUCGGAUCGUAGGCUGCAACUCGCCUACGUGAAGUCGGAAUCGCUAGUAAUCGCAGGUCAGCAUACUGCGGUGAAUACGUUCCCGGGUCUUGUACACACC
rnacentral:rRNA from 1 species